UACGUAGGGUGCGAGCGUUAAUCGGAAUUACUGGGCGUAAAGCGUGCGCAGGCGGUUCGUUGUGUCGGUGGUGAAAGCCCCGGGCUUAACCCUGGGGAAUGGCCAUGGAAACUGGCGAACUGGAGUGUGGCAGAGGGGGGUGGAAUUCCGCGUGUAGCAGUGAAAUGCGUAGAGAUGCGGAGGAACACCGAUGGCGAACGGCAGCCCCCUGGGCUAGCACUGACGCUCAGGCACGAAAGCGUGGGGAGCAAACAGG
rnacentral:rRNA from 1 species